UAAAAGAACUUUGCUGUUCUCGAAUAUUAACAGUACCAAUAAAGCCACUUUUAAAAGUCAAAUACAUUUUUGUCAACUAGUCAAUCAAGAUGAAGUUCUUCGGCGUUUUGUUCAUGGCUGUCCUUGUCCUUCUCGGGCUUCAAGAUACCUACGCCUGCAUAAAAAAUCGUGACGGUUGCCAACCUGACGGAAGUCAAGGUAAUUGUUGUUCAGGAUUUUGUCACAAGCAACCAGGAUGGGUAGCUGGCUACUGCAAAUAAAUUGUUUACUUAUUAAAAACGACGCUAUUGGACAUUGGGAUAUACUGUUAUGUGUUACAAAAUCAUAUGCGUGAAUAAAUUGGUACAAUCA